CGAUUAUCCAGACGCUCCAUAUGCAUAUAUGUAGAGUCUGGAUCCAAUCGGUUCGAAUGAUUGUGAUGCGAAGGCGUGUCCAAAUAUGCAAACACGCGAGCUGGAUUUUUUCGGAAACUUUCAUGACUUGAGGUUCCCUUGCGGUAACACUAGACAAAAACAAACGGAGGAAGUAGCAAGCAUCAUGCCUGGUGCCGGUUGGAAGUAACAUCAAGAGCUACAGACUAUCAAUUUUGCACAUCUUGAAGAGAAAUUAAAACAAACAAUGGAAUGUAGCAAAGUGGACAUUAUACUUGAUGAGUGCUGAAUAUGAAGAUUUUUUGAACAGCGGUAUAAUUACUGCAUGUUGCUUUUUUUUGAUAAAUUUAAUGAUAUGGUGAAUCUAUACUUGAUUAAAUGACUUUGAAAUAACCAAUAGAAUUUCAAUAACAACAUGUACAUAUAGUUCAUUUCAUUUACAAGCUGAUUUAAUCAUUUAUAAUGUAACCAAGCACAGAAUUCUCGAAAAACUAGUGGUCCAAAGAUUUGACCACCAAACUUUUUAAAGGACCGUCACAACUUUGGUUAUUAUUUUGCAACAGAAAUUAUAGUGAGGACCAGCAGGUUUUCUUGUAGGACCACCAGGGAAAAAAAGAUUUCAAGAACUCUACAAGCAUGCAUUCCACAACUCACUGCACUUCUUUUUAACAUGAUGGAGUUGCAAAAAGUUACCACAGUUCUAUGGACAUGAUGGACAACUAAAGGAGAAUAAUUUCAUUUGUUAAAGAACAACUGAAGGAGAAUAAUUUCAUUUGUCAAAGGACAACUAAAGGAGAAUAAUUUCAUUUGUCAAAGAACAACUGAAGGAGAAUAAUUUCAUUUGUCAAAGGACAACUAAAGGAGAAUAAUUUCAUUUGUCAAAGGACAGGAGACUUUCCAUGCCCUAAGAUUUUAAAAGCUGAAAUUGAAAAUAAGAUGCAGAGAACCAUUCAUGAAGUAUAUAUAUGAUACUGAUAUUUACAAUGUUCUCCAGAGCUAUAACUCCAGCCCUUUAGAUUACAUUACACUACUAUUGCUUGCUAAUUCUACCAUCAAUAGCAGGAGAAGAGAGGAGAUUCAGCACUAUGAAUGAUCUUUGCAAUUUGCUGUGGAUGAUGACUAAAUCAAAUUUGGAUGCAUUGAUGAAAUUCAUAUAGCGAUGACAGUUACUUCAUUGAACAAGAAAAAGCUGUAAAUAUUUUCAAUGGUGCAAAACAAACAAGUUAUGAACUAUAAAAUGAUUAAAACCGUGUUGAGUUUUCAAUUUGUUUAAAAAAGUGACAACAUUUACCUAAUGAAAUAUAAUGCACACCAAAGAUGCUAUCAUUUGGAUUGAUUGUAAAGUUUACAUGUCUGACUGGCAUGUUUUAUCUGCCCUUGAACUCAUGUUCAUGGAUCAUAAGUCAGUGUAAUGUUUCAAAUGUUGGAUCCUCUUCUAAGAUACUAUAAACAAAAUGUCUAUAAAUGUCUAUGUGGUUUAUGGUAUGAUUGUAAGGUGUACAAGUCUGUCUAGCUUGUUUUUAUCUGACCUUGACCUCAUUGUCAUGGAUCAUUAAUAAUAUUUAACUUGUUAUAAACUUUUCUCUUUAAGGCUAAUAAUGUAAAUCAUUCAAGCAGGCAACACAUUUCAGCUUGUUUUAGACAUCAAUAACUUGGUGAAACUUUCUUAAUUUUUUUUUCAAAUCUUUAACAGAAUUUUUUAAUGAUCAAAAGAAAGUAUUCAGUGCAAAAUAUUUUAUUUAAUGUUGCUGUAUUUUUCUGAUAGGGACUGAGUUUUUUGCAAUUUUUAUAUAAACAUGAUAAAGAUUACAUUCUUGGGUUUAUGCAUAAAAAAAACAAAAACAGUCCUAGAAUGUAAAGAAACUUUGGCAGAUUUGCUUAAAAUUGAUGUAUGGAAGAUAUUGUUUGAAGCAAACUUUACAAAUAUAUCUUUCCAUUGUUCA